GGACGAACGCUGGCGGCGUGCCUAACACAUGCAAGUCGAGCGGGGACAUGGAAGUAGCAAUACGGAAAUGUUCUAGCGGCGGACGGGUGAGUAACGCGUGAGCAACCUGUCCCAGUCAGGGGGAUAACGAGCCGAAAGGCUCCCUAAUACCGCAUGAGACCACAGCAUCACAUGGUGCAGGGGUCAAAGGAGAGAUCCGGACUGGGGUGGGCUCGCGUCUGAUUAGCUAGUUGGUGAGGUAAAGGCCCACCAAGGCGACGAUCAGUAGCCGACCUGAGAGGGUGAUCGGCCACAUUGGAACUGAGACACGGUCCAAACUCCUACGGGAGGCAGCAGUGGGGAAUAUUGGGCAAUGGGGGAAACCCUGAACCCCAGCAACGCCGCGUGAAGGAAGAAGGUCUUCGGAUCGUAAACUUCUAUCCUUGGUGAAGAUAAUGACGGUAGCCGAGAAGGAAGCCCCGGCUAACUACGUGCCAGCAGCUGC
rnacentral:rRNA from 1 species